AGGGCGCAUGAGAAACGGCUACCACAUCUAAGGAAGGCAGCAGGCGCGAAAAUUACCCAAUACUAAUACAGUGAGGUAGUAACAAUAAAUAACACAGCCCAGCAUUUCAUGUUGGGCUUUUGGAAUGAGAACAAUUUAAAUCCAUUAUCGAGGAUCAAUUGGAGGGCAAGUCUGGUGCCAGCAGCCGCGGUAAUUCCAGCUCCAAUAGCGUAUAUUAAAGUUGCUGCAGUUAAAAAGCUCGUAGUUGGAUUUCUAGCGAGGCACGAGAAUAUCCACCUAUGGUGAAUACUUCUCUCGCCUUGCUCUUCUUUAGUUGAUGUCUCUGGCAUUAAGUUGUCGGAGUCCUGAGACUAAUCGUUUACUGUGAGAAAAUUAGAGUGUUCAAAGCAGGCUUAUGCCGUUGAAUAUAUUAGCAUGGAAUAAUAAGAUAGGACUUCGGUACUAUUUUGUUGGUUUGCGUACUGAUGUAAUGAUAAAUAGGGACUGGCGUGGGUAUUCGUAUUUUAAUGUCAGAGGUGAUAUUCUUAGAUUAUUGAAAGACGGACGACUGCGAAAGCAUCUACCAAGUAUGUUUUCAUUAAUCAAGAACGAAAGUAUGGGGAUCGAAGAUGAUUAGAUACCAUCGUAGUCUAUACCAUAAACUAUACCGACUC
rnacentral:rRNA from 1 species